CCUACGGGAGGCAGCAGUGGGGAAUCUUGCGCAAUGGGCGGAAGCCUGACGCAGCAACGCCGCGUGCGGGAAGAAGGCCUUAGGGUCGUAAACCGCUUUCAGGGGGGACGAAGCUUCCGGGGUUAAUAGCCUACGGGGUGACGGUACUCCCAAAAGAAGGUCCGGCUAACUACGUGCCAGCAGCCGCGGUAAUACGUAGGGACCGAGCGUUGUCCGGAAUCAUUGGGCGUAAAGAGCGUGUAGGCGGCCUAGUAGGUCUCGUGUGAAAUCCCGUGGCUCAACCACGGACACGCACGGGAAACCCCUAGGCUCGAGUCCGGAAGAGGAGAGCGGAAUUCCUGGUGUAGCGGUGAAAUGCGCAGAUAUCAGGAAGAACACCCGUAGCGAAGGCGGCUCUCUGGGACGGUACUGACACUGAGACGCGAAAGCGUGGGGAGCAAACAGGAUUAGAUACCCUGGUAGUCCACGCCGUAAACGAUGGAUGCUAGGUGUGGGAGGUGUCGACUCCUCCCGUGCCGAAGCUAACGCAUUAAGCAUCCCGCCUGGGGAGUACGGCCGCAAGGCUAAAACUUAAAUGAAUUGACGG
rnacentral:rRNA from 1 species